GAGCUCAGAGUAUAAUUUAGAAUCGACAUCAGUGUAAUUCCUGCCUAUAUCCUGUUAAGAUACGAAGUUGGAUAGGUCUUUAGUUUGUUCAUCUUCUGGCUGUUUGCAGCUAAUCUAAUAUAAUGCUAUGAUAGCUUAGCUCUUUUUUCAUCGUUUUACAAAUUGCCAGGGUUUUUUUACAUACUACAAUUCUACUUAAAGCAUUAAUUUUGUUUUCUUUUAAAAAGGCCUUAUUAGCAUAGCAUUAGUUAAAAAACCCAAGUUAACCUCAAACAUAAUUAUCAUAUAAGUAGACGCAUAGAUAUACUUUUUCAAAUCCUCUACGUUGAUUGUUGUUAAUGUCCCAUGGUUAUGGAUGGUGUAUCCACACUCCUGUCAAAAUAUAUUGUAUUUACGGAUUUCUUUUUCUCUUCUAAUAAGUAGGAAACAACAUCUAAGUAUAAAAUGAAAAAUGAAGUGUGUAUGCUCGGGGAUGAUGGAGAGUAAAACAGAGAAGCUGUUGGGGUGCUAUAAGCAGUAAUGCUAAUUGGGAGGAUUUUGGACAUGAUAUAAAAAAGUAACCGAAAAAUAACAUGGUAACCCUGACAGUUUGCGAAAUAUUUCGGUAGAAAGCAGCUAAUCUGUCAUGACGUUUCAUUAGAUCAGCUACAAGUACCUAUGAUUAAGGGGGAAAUGAGAUGGAAAUAAACAAGGACAUUUGCUAGAACUACUCCGAUGUCGAUCCUAAAUUAUACUUUGAGUCCAACAAUGAUGUACAAUCAUAUUUCUGCAACACAUCCUCGGGGCUACACUCCGUGUUAUAUGAGAACACAGAAAUGUUAAUCCGUUAUUGUAUAUAUUAAUGACAUUUUGUAUGUUGUAUGUAGUACUGGGUGCGGCAAACAUAUUUUGACACUUCGUUUUUGCUACAUAAAUCAAGUUUUUUGUGAAUGCAGUAAAAUUGUUCCGAAGCCGAGAAAAUGCCAUCUGAACAUGACCAAUGAAUUUCAAUCAGCACACUUUUGGACGCUUACAAGAAGCAGUGGAGGAUCUCCAACAUAAACCCUGACAUGAACGUGGUGUUACAGAAUGAUGCUGCGCCUGCACACACGUCAAAAUAGGUCCAAAAGUUUUUGGAGGAGAACUUGCCUUUCUGGUACCCUACUCACCACAUGCCAACCCAUUGGACUUCACUUUUUGGGUGCAAGUUGAGUCCAAGGCCUGCUUCGUACGUCACCCAAAUACCCCAAGGACACUGUCAACAAGCACUGGGAUGUCAUGUCUGAGGACUACAUCCACAAUGGGUGCAAUGCCUUCUGUGGCCACAUGGAAGCCGUCAAUGCUGCCUAGGGGGGCUACAUCGAUGAUUAGGGUAGCAAGAUAUCAUAUUAGUUAUUUUUACUUUAUUGACAUACCCUAUUACAACUGGUUGCUUAAAUACAUCUUGAUAAAUUUA
rnacentral:lncRNA from 1 species